UGGGUUAUGGCUCAGUGGUGGAGUACUCGUCUUGCAUAUGAGAGGCACUAAGUUUGAUCCUCAGCACCACAU
rnacentral:tRNA from 1 species